rnacentral:lncRNA from 1 species
GUGGCUCCAUGUGGAUACCAGUAGAGGUCGGACGUGUGCACAAUUACGAUUAGAAUUCAGGAUAUCUGCAAGAUCCGAGGUAUGAAGAUUCGAUCUCUAUUUUAUUUUUCUAACAGUUUAUUUUUCUGUUUCAGAUAUCAGAUCGUGGGUACAUGUUCAUAUCAAGAUCUUUACUAUGGUUUUCAGAUCAGAUCUGAUAUAUGAAUAAAUUAAAUUUAUUUUAAUUUAUUUAUUUUCGCUGGGUAGAUGUCGAGAAAAAAUUUUGAACUAUACGUAUGAAAGUGUAGUAUUUUCUAACAGUGGUAUCAGAGCAUAGAUUUUGAUACGAACAUGAAAUUCUCUCAAAUCUGAUAUCUGGUUUGUAAAAAUCAGAUCUAAAGGUAAAUAAGAUAAUCACAUCAUUCUGAAAUAAGGUUGCUC